rnacentral:rRNA from 1 species
UACGAAGGGGGCUAGCGUUGCUCGGAAUCACUGGGCGUAAAGCGCACGUAGGCGGACUCUUAAGUCGGGGGUGAAAGCCCAGGGCUCAACCCUGGAAUUGCCUUCGAUACUGGGAGUCUUGAGUGUGGCAGAGGUUGGUGGAACUGCGAGUGUAGAGGUGAAAUUCGUAGAUAUUCGCAAGAACACCAGUGGCGAAGGCGGCCAACUGGGCCACUACUGACGCUGAGGUGCGAAAGCGUGGGGAGCAAACAGG